AGAGUUUGAUCCUGGCUCAGAAUCAACGCUGGCGGCGCGCUUAACACAUGCAAGUCGCACGAGAAAGUGGAGCAAUCCAUGAGUACAGUGGCGUACGGGUGAGUAACACGUGGAUCAUCUACCUCUUGGUGGGGAAUAACCCUGGGAAACCGGGGCUAAUACCGCAUAAGCCUGGAAAGGGAAAGCAGCAAUGCGCCGAGAGAGGAGUCCGCGGCCGAUUAGCUAGUUGGCAGGGUAAUGGCCUACCAAGGCAAUGAUCGGUAGCCGGCCUGAGAGGGCACACGGCCACACUGGCACUGAAACACGGGCCAGACUCCUACGGGAGGCAGCAGUGGGGAAUCUUGCACAAUGGGGGAAACCCUGAUGCAGCGACGCCGCGUGAGCGAUGAAGCCCUUCGGGGUGUAAAGCUCUUUCGGCAGGAACGAUAAUGACGGUACCUGAAGAAGAAGCUGCGGCUAACUACGUGCCAGCAGCCGCGGUAAUACGUAGGCAGCAAGCGUUGUUCGGAGUUACUGGGCGUAAAGAGUGUGUAGGCGGUUCUCUAAGUUCGGUGUGAAAUCUCCCGGCUCAACUGGGAGGGUGCGCCGGAAACUGGAGGGCUUGAGUAUGGGAGAGGAAAGCGGAAUUCCUGGUGUAGCGGUGAAAUGCGUAGAUAUCAGGAGGAACACCUGCGGUGUAGACGGCUUUCUGGACCAUCACUGACGCUGAGACACGAAAGCGUGGGGAGCAAACAGGAUUAGAUACCCUAGUAGUCC
rnacentral:rRNA from 1 species